rnacentral:tRNA from 1 species
AAGAGCCUAGUUAAUAUAUAACAUGAGAUUGUCAAUUUCAAAUUACUCUUCUGAGUGGUUCUUA